UGAUUUUAAUUGACCUUUAAAGUAAUCAAUUUUUUGUUAAAUUACUCAUACAAAGCAUGCUAUGAAAUACCAGUAAAUAUCGGGUUAAAAAUUAACUGAAAGACAGAAACUUACUAUUGUGUGCUGAUUUGAUGGAACAGAGGAGUGAAAAUAUAGUACGCACCUUCUGGAUUGAGACUGUGGUUUUCGUUUUUGUUUUUGUUUUUUGGUAGUGGCAGAGCUUCAAACUGGAGAAUGUUCUUUUUCAUGCGCAGUUUUUAAAAAUUGUCAUUAAAUAUUUUCACAAAGUUAAAACAACAUUGAAAGUAACUUGGGCAACUUAGAUAUUCCCUGUACUUGCUGUAACUCAAAUACCAAAACAUAUUUAGAGUUUAGGUGCAUCUAUCAUUCGAGGCAUGUGAUUUCUUUACCUGGGUGAAGCGAAAGAAAGUUAAAUCGAUGAAAUAUGAAAUGAAAAUGAGAAUCAAUUUGUAGAAUGAACCAUAAAAGAACGAGAUUUUUGAAGAGAUUAUUUUAUUUUGAUUGCAGACUGUAAAUUAUCACAGGGAGUUGCUGUAGGAAUGACAUUGAGGCUUACUUUUGGGUCAAUUUGUUCCUGUCCUGACCCACCCUUGGCAGUGGAGACAGCUAGAAUUUCUCUAACUCCAUAGAAACCAGUCUCACUGUUGCUUUAGGACUCGAUUCUCUCCCUACACUGGGCUUCCUUUAGUGCUUUGUUAUGUAAAUACAGCUUCAAAAAUAGAAUAAAUAUUCUGUAGGCAUUACUUGGAAAACGAGCUUUUAUUUUAAAGAUGUGUGCUUAUUUAAGUCGCAGACAGAGCUUUAAAGAGCUCUUGAUAGAAAGAAAUAUAUUUGGCGAAGAGUCAAAACUUUUAAAGUAACUUUAAAAGGUGAAUAAUUUACAUUCGUAUAGUGUUUACAUAAUAGGGUGUGUACGACAAAGCCAAAACAACAUUGAAAAUAACCUGAGCAAUUUAAAUAUUCUUCCUAGUAACUGUAAAAUAAAAGUGCCUUCGAAUGGUACAUUUGCUGGCAGGAAAUUUUUUUCAUGUUCCCAGGUGGCAAGGAUUCUUUCAUGUUCCCUUAUAUUUGAAAACUGGUAUUAGCGUUUACUUCUCGGACUCAGACCAAUUCCCCCUUACCUGUCAGAGAACAUCUAGCAAUAAAUGCUGACAAAGCUACAUAGCAAAGGGCAAACCUGUCACUUCCCUUUCAGAAACCUGUUUAUGCACCCUCCUGCAAUCCCACCACCUGCCCAGGCCAAGUGAGCCCCUCUCCGCUACUGGUGUUUCAUAAUGCUGGGAGCUACUUUGAUUUCAUGCAUUGCCCUUCAGCUGCCAUGUUAUGAGGACACUUGGAGAAAGCUACAGGAGAGGAACUGAGGUCUCCUGCCAUCAGCCACUUGAGUGAGCAUGGGAGUGGAUUCUCCAAACUCCAGUUAAGACUUGAGAUGUCCACAGUGGCAGCCACUAGCUUGACUGCAACUUACGAGAGACCCUGAGCCAGAGGCACUCAGUUAAGUCAUACACAGUUUCCUGACCCGUAAAACCUGUGACACAAUGAAGGUUUGUUGUUUUGGGGGUAAUCCGUUAUUCAGCAAUAGAUAACGAAUACAGAAGGCUUGUAAUUGUAUAACCAACGUGAGUUUAUAAGCGGAUAUCUGACCUCAUUUGUUUUCUCCUGAAAAAGUUAUAGAAAAAUCACAAGACUGCAAGUCACUCU
rnacentral:lncRNA from 1 species